GACGAACGCUGGCGGCGUGCUUAACACAUGCAAGUCGAACGGUGAAGCGCCUUCCUUUUUGGUGGGUGUGGAUGAGUGGCUAACUGGUGAGUAACACUUUAGUAACUUGCCCCCUUCUUCUGGAUAACCGCAUGAAUGUUUGGCUAAUACGGGAUAUUCUGGGUCUGUCGCAUGAUGGGUCUGGGAAAUAUAUUGUUUCGGUGUGUGAUGGGCUCGCGUCCUAUCAGGUUGUUGGUGGGGUGAUGGCCUACCAAGGCGGUGACGGGUAGCCGGCCUGGGAGGGUGGACGGCAACACGAGGGAUGAGCGACGGCGAAGACUACUACGGGAGGCAGCAGGGAGGUAUAGUGCACAAUGGGAGGAAGGCUGAUGCAGCGACGCCGCGUGAGGGAUGGAGGCCUGCGGGUUGAGAACCUCUGUCGGGAGGGAAGCAGGACUGCCUAGUUUGUGCGUGGGUUGACGGUAGCUGGAUAAGAAGCGCCGGCUAACUACGUG
rnacentral:rRNA from 1 species